rnacentral:rRNA from 1 species
CCGGAGGAAGGUGGGGAUGACGUCAAGUCCUCAUGGCCCUUAUGGGUAGGGCUUCACACGUCAUACAAUGGUCGGUACAGAGGGUUGCCAACCCGCGAGGGGGGAGCUAAUCCCACAAAGCCGAUCGUAGUCCGGAUCGCAGUCUGCAACUCGACUGCGUGAAGUCGGAAUCGCUAGUAAUCGUGGAUCAGCAUGUCACGGUGAAUACGUUCCCGGGUCUU